UUAAUUGUUGUUAUCUUUUUGUUUUUUUUACUCUUUUUGGUUUUAAAUUGUUAAUUAACAGAAAGAUUAACUCAUCUACUUUUCUCUCAUCACAUCAACUAAUCUUCUGAUUAUGUUUGGCAUCCAUCUUGUCUCUUUGUUUGGGUUAACCAAUUGGUUGAAAAGUUGAGGGAAACGAGUUGAUUAAAAUGAGUCAGAUUAUUUUGUUAACUAUAUUAAUCAUUUAUGGUUUUAUUAACAUUUUGAUGUUUCUGUUUUGUUUUUAGUGAUAUUUUGUCUUUUUUUCUGCCUCAUCAUCAUCAUCAUCAUGAACUUUUAAUGUUCGAAAAAGAGAAAAUUCCGAAAAAAUUUAGUUUAAUCAGUGAAGAUGAAGGAUCCAAAAUGGCGAUCAAGUGAAAAACGAAAAUUUGUUUAUUCUCUAUGUAAACAAGACUAUGGAAAAGGAACAUGGGCCAAUAUAUUUUAUACAUGGAAAAGAAACAAAUGAUGAUGAAGACAUAGUGAUGGUGGAGAAAAGGAGUAAGAAGGAGGAAAAAGAAGAGGCAAUGGAACAGAUAAUUUGGAUGAAGAUGAUUUUGUAAGGACAAGAGCAAUGAGGAUAUUGUACCAUGUUAAACAAAGAGAAUUCUGGAAACAUGAAAGGAUUUGUUAAAGGUCUUUCUUGCCAUUUAGUAUAUAAAGUCUUCUGUUUUUUUUGUUCUCUUUUCAUCAACAAUUUCUAUUUUUGUUUAUUCAACAGAUAAGAUAAAAGCUACUAAAUAUACAUAAGAACAAAGUUUCAAUGUAAAUCAUCAUCAUCAUCAUCAUCAGAGACUUGAUUGUUUCUACUCAUGCCACUUACCCAAUAUUUAAACUUGAAGGUGAACCAUGAAUUUCUCUGUUCUUUUGCUGAUGAUGAUGUUUAUCUUUCCAAGUGUAUUAAUUCACAGAAUGAUAAAUCAAUGGAGGUAAAAGUCGCAAAGGAAAAAAGACAAAAGGAUGACAAGUCAAAUUGUUGGAAGAUCAUAAAAAUCUUGACAAUAUAUGCAAUCCACUUGACCAAAAGUCAGGUUAAAUCAACAAUUGAAGACUCUUAGUAUUUUCAGGAUUGAUGAAGAAAAACUUGAUCAUCAUCAUCAUCACACUUGACAAUUUGUUUACCAUCAUCAACGAAAGCAACAACAACAACAACAUCAACAAUAAUGGGCAACUAAUAUAACUGUUAAGAGGUGAAAAAACUAUCAACAUAUAAUCUACUAUUACAUCAACAACUAGACUAUUAAUGUCCACUACUGGUCAACUUAUGCUGACCAGUUUUCACAUCAUUUAUAUAACUCUUGCUCCAAUAGUAUAGCUGAUUUUAUGAUAUUUACCUGUAACCAUCAUUAGAAGGAUAAAAACAAAGUUUAACUUGGAUUAUUAUAAGGAUUAAACAAACGACAAUUGACAAUCAAAUGGUAUAAUUUGGAUGGUUUUAAUUUAUUUGAUGAUGUUAUUUAACUUAUGAUGAUGGUAAUGAUGACAAGAAGAGGAUACUGUUAAGAUAUAUUGAUACUAAAUACAAGUUGACAGUUAAAUCUGUAUAAUAGUAAAAUGUCAACUCGUGAACUUAAUCAAUGGUUGUUAUUGAUAACAAAGUCUCGAUACAGUUCGUACCAACAUGUUACAUGGAAAUCAGGGAGAUAGAGAGAGAGAAGGAGAUAAUCAAUGAACAAGCAACAAAUGAACUUGGAAAUAUUUUGAUGGCUAACACUGAUUUCUAUGGAAUCAAUUUAAGGAAGAACAAGGAAGACGGAAGACAAAAGAGAAAAUAUAGAGAAUGAGAGAGAGAGAAAGAGAGAGAAAGAGAGUCCAAAGGAUAAGUGAAGAAGAAAAAAUCUCAAGAGAAAUGAAUAGUGACAAAGGUAAACCUGAUAAAGGAAAGAAAUUAGGUAAACGAGGCAAGACACCAAAUGAGAAGUAGCAAGAAUGAAAAAGUACUACUAAUGGAUUGAAACCUCAAGAUUUUGAACGGAAAAGAAAAUAACUUGGUAAAUGGAUCGACUGAAAACAAACUAAAGAAUCUCUUCCUAUUUAUCAUCCUCUUUUCAUCUUAUUUACCUUGUAUUCCUUUAAUGAACACAGACUUAAUAGGUUAACAUUGACAUAGAUCAUCUUGAUCAUCAUUGAUGAUAAAUAAUAGAUUAAAAAAUGUUGAUGGUACACAGAGAUAAAAAAGAGAACGGGAAAUUACCAGUUGACAUCAAUGAUCAAUACAAGGAUUGAAAGCAAAAUAUUGGUAAAGAGCUACAGUUGCAAAGGAUAAGAUGAAGGAAAGAAAAAAACUAUUUACAAUCACUACUCUACUUCUCCACCCACUACAACUAUUACUACUACGACUACUUGAUUGUAAGGGAAAAAAAGGAGAAGGUGUAUUCCAGUGUAAAUCAAAAAUCAGUUACUUUGGAAGUUUAUUCAAUUUACUUGAAUGGAUAUUGGGUGAAAAAUAUUCUUUCUGUAAUCUGACUUUUCUGGAAAAAGAAAGAAAAAUGUUUGGUUGAAGGAGCUGAUGAUGAUCGUGGUGGUGGUGUUGUUGAUAGUGAUAACACUUUGAUACAAUUUUCAACAAGAAAUUAACAGGCAAUCGCGAGAGGGGAUAAAAAGGAACACAACAAGCAUGUGGAAAUGAAAGACGAGAAGAAAAGGAAAGGAGGUAAAAUCGAGAAGCAAAGUGAAAAGAUGAAGAUAAGAAGAUAAAAUGACGUGAAGAGAUGGAGGUUAACAUAAAAAAAAGGAUGUCGGUUAAAUGAACUAUUACUGAUGCUCGAACUUGUUUUUUGAAUAAUAACAAGCUAAGCAAGGAUAAGGAUGGGCACGAACAUCAAUAUCAUGGAAGAAAAAGAAAAUCGUAUGGAACAAGAUAAGAUGAAAAUGAUGAUGGAGAAGAGUUUAUGAGAGAGUGAUAGAAAGAUUCGUCCUUUUUCAUACGAAGAUGAUGAUAAUGAUGAAGCAAGCAAGAAGAUGGAAGUAAUUUAGCUUACAACAAUUGAAUUCUCUCCAGGGUGUUAUGCAUCUAUGAGCUUUUCUUAGCUCUUAUUUUACCUCUUUCUCUCUUUCUCUUUCUCUCUUUCUCCCUUUCUUCCUGUCUUAAUCUUCCUUUUCCACCUCUACAACCAAGUAAUUCAGCUUUAGCAAUAUUAUCUAUACCUUUUCAUAAUAACUCUCAUCAUCUUUGUAUUACCUUAUAAUUUACUCUUUCUUUCCAUGUUUCUUUCUUCAGAUUUGAAACCUUAGAUACAAAGAAAGAAAAAGAGAAAGAAGGAUGUUGGUCACUUCUGAUCGUCUUUUCUUGAGGUCAAGGGUAAACUGUGUAAAUUGCUUUCUACUUCUAAAAAUAGUUUUAUGCGCAUUUUGAUUAUCCUCAUUGAAUUCUGUCUUCGCUCAUCAUCAUCAUCAUCAUCAUCUUUAGAUUCAAUUUUACUGUUACCCAAAAUUAGCUAUACACGAAAACCCAACCAAGUGGUCAGAAUUUUAUAUGACCAAAUGAAAUUCAUGUUGGACAAGCUUGUAACCCAUAAACAUUAAUGUGAUCUCUCAUCUUCCUAUUUACUAUCUCUCUCUUUUUUAUAUUCUUUUCUUAUUUUUAUAUUGUAACUUUUUUCACCUUUUCUUUUCGUUAUUUUUUAUUCACUAACAAUUUCUCAUUCAAAUUUACCUGUUCUACUUUCUCACUCCCCAAGUUUCCUUCCCCAUUCAUUAUCAUUCCCUUUAAACUCCUUGAUUAGUUUCUUUUUACCUUCUCGAUUCCAGGUAACUAUUGAUGAGAUUUCGUUUUAUUUCUUACAUAUCAUGGUUAUCAUGAUGAUUCCUUUUAUCUCCAUCUAUUCAGAGUUUCUUCUUUUUUUUGAAAUUCUUUUGCCUCCCUGUGCCUUGUUCCUCACAAAAUCAUCUUCGACAUUUUAACCAUUUAUCUUUAUCAUCUUUCUUUUUCCACUCUAAGGUUAAAAACUUGAUUCAUCCUCUUCAUCCUAAACCUUUGAAAAAUUAGCAAACAUAUUAAGUCAACUGAGAAUUCAGAGCUUUUAUCAGCAUCUCUUUUUUUCAUGAUAUUGUUUUAAUAACACAUAAAAAGGCACCAGCAAAGUUCACAAUCAGUGUUAACAGAUGAUUACUAUUACUAUUAUUGCCAAAAGGUGAACAAAAUGAAAAAAAGACACUGAGUAAGGUGGAGAAUGAUUAUUUCAUGUGAAGGUGAGAUUUUCCCCUCUCUCACUCACAUAAAAAAAACCUAUUAUAGCCUCAACUUGAAACUGGUCACACAAUUUCACCUUUUAAUUGAAUUGAAUUGAAUUUCCAACAUCUUAACCUUUCCAAUUGAUUCAGUUUCAAUUACAUUUCAUUUCUAAUCCUCAUUUUCUGUUUCCCUGUUGAUAGAUUUAACUUCAUCUUUCCAUAUAUAUUAACCUGAACAUCCAACUAAUCACAAAGUUGAUCUUAUUUUUUGUUUCUUCUUCAUGAUAAUAUAUCUUAUUCCCACUUCUCACUCAUUCACCACCUCGAUCAUACCCUCUCCCUCAUCCAUUUACUGUUUCCAACUACUACCAUUUACUUUGAUUCAAUGGUUUUCUCCUUAUUCUGAAACAAUAUUCUGAUGAUGAGAGAGAUAAAAAAAAAUCUGAUGAAUGAAUGGUAAAAGGAAAAUAUUAAAUUCAUUGCCAUUGAUUGGAAGAUCCAUCAUGAUGAUGCUGAUGGAGAAAAAAAAAUUGCAAUGAUGAGGUUAUUUCAAUGAUGCUGAUGAUGAUCAACAAUAAGGAUGAGGAUGAAUGGAAACAACAACAAGACUAAAGUUGGAUUGUGAAUAAUAUGAAUGGUUGAAUUGGUUAAAAGCCUAAGAUUGAACAUGAUUUUCCAAUGGUGAUUGGAAAUGUAAAUUGCUUGGUAAACGUUAUAUCAUCAGGGAAGGAAAAAAAAAAGUUUCAAAGGAAAAGCUAUUGACAAAUGAAUGAACUUUUUCCUGUGAAUAUAUUUACAUACUUUGCCACCCACUUUACAUGAAGUAUCCAAGAAAAUGUAUAUUUGUUUCCCUGUUUUCAUGAUGUUCACAGGGAUAGAAAAGUUAUCGUCUUCAAUUCCUAUUCAAUGAAUCAAAUCUUCACAUAAGAUUAGCUGUGAAAGUGAGAUUGUAAUAUAAGUUGAUUAUUGGGAUGAUAUAAUUUCACAUCUCAUUGGAAAAUGAUUUACAGAUUGUAACUCAAUAAUAAUAAUAAUGUUGAGUCUCACUUUUUUUUCAGAUAUUAUAUUUAUCAUCAUCAUUUGUUAUCAUCUUUUUUGUUAUGAUUAUUGUUAACACUUAACAUGGUCCGUUUAAAUUGUUUGGACAUUCAAUCAGGAUCAUUUUUCAUUUUCCUUUCAAAUGGUUGAAUUAAAAAUGAGAUUUGAAUCAACUUGACCAUUGACCAAGUUACAAUAAGGGUGAACAUUGAAACAUAUAACUAGACAAUCAUGUAUUUAGAUGGACAAAUACACUCUGAUGACCAGUAAACUUAACAGUGAUGAUGGUCAGUGUGUGUGUACAUAUACAUGAAAUUUAUUAUUUAUCCAUUCUAAGUCAAUGUAUGAAGAUACAGGGUGAUCAUGGGUGAGGUGUUGUCGUGGUGGUCAAGUUGUAGGCGUGGAGGGAAUGAUAUUUAUAUAAGACUCUGGUAUUUUCAAUGUUUAAUCGGAAAGAAAGUUUUGUUUUUGCUGAACUCACAGGAAUCAAGGAAGGACCAAAUCUAAGGA